rnacentral:rRNA from 1 species
AUUGAACGCUGGCGGCAGGCUUAACACAUGCAAGUCGAGCGAGCGGCGGACGGGUGAGUAAUGUCUGGGAAAAUGCCUGAUGGAGGGGGAUAAAUCCUGGAAACGGUAGCUAAUACCGCAUACCAUCAGAUGUGCCCAGGUGGGAUUAGCUAGUAGGGGGGGGAAUGGCUCAACUAGGCGACGAUCCCUAGCUGGUCUGAGAGGAUGACCAGCCCACCUGGAACUGAGACACGGUCCAGACUCCUACGGGAGGCAGCAGUGGGGAAUAUUGCACAAUGGGCGCAAGCCUGAUGCAGCCAUGCCGCGUGUGUGAAGAAGGCCUUCGGGUUGUAAAGCACUUUCAGCGAGGAGGCGUUACUCGCAGAAGAAGCACCGGCUAACUCCGUGCCAGCAGCCGCGGUAAUUC